GAGAGAACAAAGAAAAGGAAUGAGAGAGUGAGCAAAUGUGUUUCAAGGAACCAGAGCACAAUCAAGCCCUUCGUGACCCUGUACACCCAUGCUCACCUUAAGACCCCCAUGCUCAAAUGUUUUUGGAAGUGUACAGUAAAAGCAGCCAUGCUGACCAGAGCGUUUGCAAAAGCCCAUGACUGACACCCAGUGGUAACUGCUGGUAAUUUAGACUAGAAAGUAACCAAUGGCACCUUCAAGUAACGGGAUCGCAACCCUCGGUGUCGCGUCCGCACCGUGCUC